UUGAAUUGAAGAGUUUGAUCAUGGCUCAGAUUGAACGCUGGCGGCAGGCUUAACACAUGCAAGUCGAACGGUAGCAGGAGAAAGCUUGCUUUCUUGCUGACGAGUGGCGGACGGGUGAGUAAUGCUUGGGAAUCUGGCUUAUGGAGGGGGAUAACUACUGGAAACGGUAGCUAAUACCGCGUAAUAUC
rnacentral:rRNA from 1 species